UACGGGGGGGGUAAGCGUUGUUCGGAAUUACUGGGCGUAAAGGGCUCGUAGGCGGCCAACUAAGUCGGACGUGAAAUCCCUCAGCUUAACUGGGGAACUGCGUCCGAUACUGGAUGGCUUGGAUUUGGGAGAGGGAUGCGGAAUUCCAGGUGUAGCGGUGAAAUGCGUAGAUAUCUGGAGGAACACCUGCGGCGAAGGCGGGUUGCUGGGCUGAUACUGACGCUGAGGCGCGAAAGCCAGGGGAGCGAACGGG
rnacentral:rRNA from 1 species